CCUGAACGCUGGCGGCGUGGCUAAGACAUGCAAGUCGUACGGGGCCGCAAGGCCCAGUGGCGAACGGGUGAGUAAUGAAUCGCUAAUGUGCCCCGGACUCAGGGAUAGCCGCUCGAAAGGGCGGGUAAUACCUGAUGACAUAACCCUGUCGCAUGGCAGGGUUCUCAAAGGUCCGCCGGUCUGGGAGCAGGCGAUUUCGUAUCAGCUAGUUGGUGAGGUAACGGCUCACCAAGGCGACGACGCGUAGCCGGACUGAGAGGUUGGCCGGCCACAUUGGGACUGAGACACUGCCCAGACUCCGUACGGGGGCUGCAGUAACGAAUCUUCCGCAAUAGCACGAAAGUGUGACGGAGCGACGCCGCGUGUGGGACGAA
rnacentral:rRNA from 1 species